ACCGGCCUCCGCCCGGCAGGGAGGGGCUCUCUCCAGAGGCUCAGCCUCCUCUGCUCCCCAUGGGCAACUGCCAGGCAGGGCACAACCUGCACCUGUGUCUGGCCCACCACCCACCGCUGGUCUGUGCCACUUUGAUCCUGCUGUUCCUUGGCCUCUCCGGUCUGGGCCUUGGCAGUUUCCUCCUCACCCACAGGACUGGCCUGCGCAGCCCUGACAUCCCCCAGGACUGGGUCUCUUUUUUGAGAUCUUUUGGCCAGCUGAUCCUGUGUCCCAGGAAUGGGACAGUCACAGGGAAGUGGCGAGGGUCUCACGUCGUGAGCUUACUGAUCACCUUGAACUUCGGAGACUGUCCAGACAGGAACAAGACCCGGACAUUCCAGGCCACGGUCCUGGGUAGUCAGAUGGGAUUGAAAGGAUCUUCUGCAGGACAACUGGUCCUUAUCACAGUCAGGGUGACCACAGAAAGGACUGCAGGAACCUGCCCGUAUUUUAGUGUUCCAGGAAUCCUACCCUCCAGCCAGCCACCCAUAUCCUGCUCAGAGGAGGGGGCCGGAAAUGCCACCUAAGCCCUAGAAUGGGUGAGGAGUGCAUUAGUGUCUGGCACCACGAAGGCCUUGUGCUGACCGAGCUGCUCACCUCGGAGGAGAGGAGCUGGCUCUGUGUGGCCCCAGGCUGCUGGUCUUGGGCUCCUUCCUGCUUCUUUUCUGUGGCCUUCUCUGCUGUGUCACUGCUACGUGCUUCCACCCGCGCUGGGAGUCCCACUGGUCUAGAACCCGGCUCUGA